GGCGAGAUGGCCGAGCGGUCUAAGGCGCCAGACUAAGGAUCCGCUUCAUUUGAAGCACAACUUGCAGACUUCAUCGUUUGUAAUCUGGUCUUUCGGGGCGUGGGUUCGAAUCCCACUCUCGUCA